UGAUCCACAGUGUCAGGAAAUGACCAGUCUCGACAGACCUGUGGGCUGCUCCCAAGAAGGACAUGUUUCACUCCAGGUGCAGUAGCAGGAGAGAACAAGGAAAGAACCGGUGGAAUCCAGACUGGAGUUGCCUUGGAUAUCAGGCCCGCACAGCAGGCCUCCACCGCUGCUUCGCAGAGUCUGAAAUGGCAUUAGGAGGAGGCGAGCCGGGACGUAAACAGGUGGAAACAGCUCCUGUCAUGGGAGCUGCUCGGCUCGGCCCCUGAUCUUGCUACACAGUCUGAAAUUCUGAAUUUUCCAGGACAGACAGCCUUAUUCAGUCACCACUCCUCCCA